GACGAACGCUGGCGGCGUGCUUAACACAUGCAAGUCGAACGGAAAGGCCCUGCUUUUGUGGGGUGCUCGAGUGGCGAACGGGUGAGUAACACGUGAGUAACCUGCCCUUGACUUUGGGAUAACUUCAGGAAACUGGGGCUAAUACCGGAUAGGAGCUCCUGCUGCAUGGUGGGGGUUGGAAAGUUUCGGCGGUUGGGGAUGGACUCGCGGCUUAUCAGCUUGUUGGUGGGGUAGUGGCUUACCAAGGCUUUGACGGGUAGCCGGCCUGAGAGGGUGACCGGCCACAUUGGGACUGAGAUACGGCCCAGACUCCUACGGGAGGCAGCAGCGGGGAAUAUUGCACAAUGGGCGGAAGCCUGAUGCAGCAACGCCGCGUGCGGGAUGACGGCCUUCGGGUUGUAAACCGCUUUCGCCUGUGACGAAGCGUGAGUGACGGUAAUGGGUAAAGAAGCACCGGCUAACUACGUG
rnacentral:rRNA from 1 species